ACCAAGCAAUUUGGCUGAAGCAGUAAUGUUUGUGGCUUGUAUUUGGGAGGUAGCUGGCUUGAAUCAUGGCUGGGAAACCAACAGUCCUAAGUGUUGUUUUCAUAUUGUUCCUCAAUUGAUCUAGGCGUGGGUAACUCUGGAACAGUCUAGUUUGUUUUGUGGAAGCGAUUGAACGCGGCAACAUGGACGUAGAACUGCUCAUAACAGAAGUAUUUGCCAGACCACCGAUUUGGCAAACAAAACACAAGCAUCAUCGCAACAGAGGUGUAAUUGAGAAGAUGUGGGGAGAAAUAGCAAAAGCAUUAGAUUCAACAAGAGGUGCAAAGAAGCCUGCAUCCUGUAUCUGUCUACUUCACUGAAUCAGACUCCAGACAAAGAUGUGUUCAGAACCUGAGUAAUAAAAUUGCUUGUCCUCGUAUUCCAUAUGAAAUCGUCUUUGCUGUUUGUGGCUGGAAUAGUAAUAAUGCCACUUGUUUCAUUGAUACAUAUGAUGUAAGGGCAGACAAAUGGUACAAAUGCUUGGAUGCCAAACUCACAGCUUGAGCUUACCAUGGUCUGUGUGCUGUGGAUAACCUCAUUUACAUUGUUGGUGGAUGCAAUUGCUUUGAAAUUCUCAACACAGUGUAUUGCUACAAUCCAGUAACUCAGAAGUGGACGGAGCAUGCCUGCAUGCACCAUGACCGAUUUUAUGUCAGUGUUUGUGUUGAAGGCUUUUGGAUGAUUAAGUUUGUUAGCAAUAGACUGGAAUCAAAGAAGAAGACAUUAAAAAUAUAAAGGCAACAAAAAGAACUUCAGUAAUAUAUAAAAAC